CUUCGGAUCUAGUGGCGCACGGGUGCGUAACGCGUGGGAAUCUGCCCUUGGGUGCGGAAUAACUUCUCGAAAGGGAUGCUAAUACCGCAUAAUGUCGUAAGACCAAAGAUUUAUCGCCCAAGGAUGAGCCCGCGUAGGAUUAGCUAGUUGGUGGGGUGAAAGCCUACCAAGGCGACGAUCCUUAGCUGGUCUGAGAGGAUGAUCAGCAACACUGGGACUGAGACACGGCCCAGACUCCUACGGGAGGCAGCGGUGGGGAAUAUUGGACAAUGGGCGAAAGCCUGAUCCAGCAAUGCCGCGUGAGUGAUGAAGGCCCUAGGGUUGUAAAGCUCUUUUACCCGGGAUGAUAAUGACAGUACCGGGAGAAUAAGCUCCGGCUAACUCCGUGCCUGCAGCCGCGGUAAUACGGAGGGAGCUAGCGUUGUUCGGAAUUACUGGGCGUAAAGCGCGCGUAGGCGGUUUUUUUAAGUCAGAGGUGAAAGCCCGGGGCUCAACCCCGGAAUUGCCUUUUGAAACUGGAAAACUAGAAUCUUGGAGAGGUCAGUGGAAUUCCGAGUGUAGAGGUGAAAUUCGUAAA
rnacentral:rRNA from 1 species